rnacentral:rRNA from 1 species
UACGGAGGGGGCUAGCGUUGUUCGGAAUUACUGGGCGAAAGCGUGCGCAGGCGGCUUCUCAAGUCAGGGGUGAAAGCCCAGAGCUCAACUCUGGAAUUGCCUUUGAGACUGAGUGGCUUGAGUACGAGAGAGGUGAGUGGAAUUCCCAGUGUAGAGGUGAAAUUCGUAGAUAUUGGGAAGAACACCGGUGGCGAAGGCGGCUCACUGGCUCGUAACUGACGCUCAUGCACGACAGCGUGGGGAUCAAACAGG